ensembl:misc_RNA 7SK 7SK RNA
GGAUAUGAGGGCACUCUGGCUGCGACAUCUGUCACCCCAUUGAUUGCCAGGGUUGAUUUGGCUCAUCUGGCUGGCUAGGCGGGUGUCACCUUCCUCCCUCACUGCUCCAUGUGUGUCCCUCCAAAGCUGCACACUCAGUUGAGAAUAAAAUGGCCUGAAGAGGACAGCCUUCCCUGAAUAGAGAUGGACCAGUCUUGGGUCAAGGGUAUGCAAGUAUCUGGGCUCCCCUGCUAGAACCUCCAAACAAGCUCUCGAGGUCCAAAUUGCAUUGUCAAAGACUGGGGUUCAAGCCUCCAGUCCCCAACUGCAGUGUGAGCAGUUUCA